rnacentral:lncRNA from 1 species
CUGUGCUUUGACCUCUUUCUCCCCUCUCUCUCCAGAUGAAAUCUCGCGUCUUGUGACGGCCGGCCGCCCAACAACCUGCCCACUUGACCCUAUCCCCUCCUCUCUUCUCCAGACCAUUUCCGGAGACCUUCUCCCCUACCUCACCUCGCUCAUCAACUCAUCCUUGACCGCUGGCUACGUCCCUUCCGUCUUCAAGAGAGCGAGAGUUGCCCCCCUUCUGAAAAAACCUACACUCGAUCCCUCCGAUGUCAACAACUACAGACCAACCUAUCUGCUGCCUUUGAUACUGUGAACCAUCAGAUCCUCCUCUCCACCCUCUCCGAGCUGGGCAUCUCCGGC